AGUCUGACCAGGUAUUGUGUUAUUUUAGGGUUAGUAAUGUAAAGUCUGACCAGGUAUUGUGUUAGUUUAGGGUUAGUAGUAGUCAAGUCUGACUAGGCAUUGUGUUAGUUUAGGGUUAGUAGUAGUCAGGUCUGACCAGGCGUUGUGUUAGUUUAGGGUUAGUAAUGUAAAGUCUGACCAGGCGUUGUGUUAGUUUAGGGUUAGUAAUGUAAAGUCUGACCAGGUAUUGUGUUAGUUUAGGGUUAGUAAUGUAAAGUCUGACCAGGUAUUGUGUUAGUUUAGGGUUAGUAAUGUAAAGUCUGACCAGGCGUUGUGUUAGUUUAGGGUUAGUAAUGUAAAGUCUGACCAGGUAUUGUGUUAGUUUAGGGUUAGUAAUGUAAAGUCUGACCAGGUAUUGUGUUAGUUUAGGGUUAGUAAUGUAAAGUCUGACCAGGCGUUGUGUUAGUUUAGGGUUAGUAAUGUAAAGUCUGACCAGGUAUUGUGUUAGUUUAGGGUUAGUAAUGUAAAGUCUGACCAGGCGUUGUGUUAGUUUAGGGUUAGUAAUGUAAAGUCUGAACAGGUAUUGUGUUAGUUUAGGGUUAGUAAUGUAAAGUCUGACCAGGCGUUGUGUUAGUUUAGGGUUAGUAAUGUAAAGUCUGAACAGGUAUUGUGUUAGUUUAGGGUUAGUAAUGUAAAGUCUGACCAGG